rnacentral:lncRNA from 1 species
AGUGGCCUUGUUCUCGAUACUUCGUUGUGGUUGUGAACUCUGUCCGGCAGCCUCGGGCCUGCGGUCUUGAGACGGAGCACCGUGAGUAGCAACCCGCGAGCCGGACACGUUCCUCGAGGGAGGGGCUGGGUGGGAGCCUCGCGUUGGCUGUGGAGUGCACGAGGCGACCUGGCCUCGUAUCCUGAGGCGCCGUGCGGCCCGUUGCAGACCCCCGGACCGCGGGAGGCACGAGGAGGCCGAGUCAGGCCUUCAAGGGUCUCCCAUCCUUUCGGCGCUCGCUCAGGGAAGAGAGUCGAGCCCUGUGGCAGGCCUGCCGCUUUGCAGGCGACGUCAGUCGGCCCCAAACGCGACUGGAAGGCCCAGGCUUCGUACCGGGCCUGCCUUAGCGACAGGCUUGCUGCUCCGCGCUCCAGGCCGGGUGGGCAGCGAGGCUUUGAGUAGGGGUCCUGGGCCGUUCCAGGUGGUGGCUGUCGUUGCCAUUUGAUUCUUGGCUCCCUCCCUUUUCUCCUGUAUCUGGCGUCAAUUAGCUCCUUAUUGGUCUCACCUUUUUAACCACCGAAUAUGCAGGUAACAGACUCCCAAUGUUUCUUUGCGUUUUGUCACGUUCUGCAGUCUCUGAACUUGUUACUGUAAUAGACACUGUCGUCUGAGGUGUGUGGCAUUUGACGCUAAAACCUGAGGUGUUUGGGUUUUUUAAGGGAUAGUGCUAAAACCUGCCUUCUGGUUCACUUUUUCACGGAGUCCUCAGGUUUGGAGACUCAGUUUUUCAGCAGAAUGUUACAGUAGACUGUAUUGUGGCAUAGAACAAUGCAGUCUCUUCCGUCCUGCAGUGUAGUAACAAGUGUCAGAAUUUCGAGUCACUUAAAACAGGUUUGUUUUUAAAGUCUGGUAUACUAGAAUUCUCAUGCUAGACUUGGAUGAUUAAUUUCCAAGUCUAGGAGCUUAGAGAACUGAAGAAGGGUUUUUUGAAAGCAUAUCAAAUCGAAACCUCAUACAUUAUUACUUAAAAAUUUUGCACUUAAUUCCAACACAACAACAAAAGUGAAGUCUAGGAUUACAGAGUGCGUUGAAUUACAGAUUAACCGAUUGCCUCCCUGUCAUUUAAUAAGAUCCUGGCUCCCUUGCAAGUAACCUAAUACCUAAAUUUGACUAUGACUAAGCACAUCUUUAUUUAUUGUGAAUUAUUUCAAGGAAAUACGGGGUGGUCUUUUAAAAUAAUUUUAUCAACUACAUAGACUUGUUCUGGAAUGCUCAUUGUAGUACUAGAGAUCAUAAAAAGAACACAGUGUCUUGCUAUUAAAAACUGGCCUAUUUUAACUUUUAUUGUUGCCUUAUCAUAGGGAGGGUCUGCUGCUCUGACUUCUCUGUUCUGCAGACAUGUUUGUUAGUUGAAAAGUGAACUCUUGAGUCUCUUCAACCAUGGAUGAGUGGGAGCUGGGUAUUUCAAUGGAUGAUUGUAAAACAAGCUUUACCUCUCCCAACCCCCUUUCUUGAAGCUUGUUUACUUGAGGAAUUGGGGACAAGUGUCUCAGAAAGCUGAAUGAAUAUUUUAGGAGAUGUGCUGAGUCUUAAGUGUUUGACCCUAAAAUAGGUGUAGUAGUUAUUUUAAAUGCUAAACCCUGUACUUUUGUGAAAAAUCGCGUUAGUAAUACAACUCAGAUCCAGAAAUGCUUAAGAAGUACCUUUAGAGUAACAUUGAAGGCUUGUAUCUUCCUUAGAAGCACAGACCUGCCUAGUUGCAUGUGAGGUAGGGAUUUUGGUGCCCACCUUUAGUCCCAGCACUGGAGGCAGCGGCAGGUUUAUGGCUGAGUUCAAGACUAGUCUUAAGUUCCAGGACAGCCAGGGUAAUACAGAGGAACCCUAUCUCAAAAAACAAAACAAAAACUAUCAGAAAAAAAGUUGCUUGUGAAUUUUAAAGAGGUCUUGAAUUAAUCCUCUUUUGAAGGGAUGAGGGGGAAAUCUGAUGAUAAGAAAUUGCUGGCUUAGAGCUUUUAGUAUUAAUACUGAUUUGUUUUUAUUUGGCUUUUUUUUUUUCCCUGAUGACUCAUUUUAUAUCUCAGUUGAUAAGGUUUUGGAUUUUUGUUUUUGGGGGGAUUUGUUGAGUUUAGUUUUUGAGACGGGGCCAAGAAAACCAGGCUAACCUUAAAUUUAUUUUCCUAUGUGUCAAGAAGAUGGUCAUAAACUCCUGAUCCUUCUAUUUGGCAAACUGUUGGGAUUAUGGGAUGUACUUGCUUGGCUCACCUUUUGGGGAGAGGGGGAGAGGGCGGUGUUGCAGAUUGAAAUAGAGCUUUAUACGUGUUAGGCAUUAUACUAAGGAGCUAUAUCUCCAGCCUCUUUUGUAUUUCAUUUUAAGCAGACUCUUACUGAGUUCCACCAAAGCUGGCUUGACCUCAUUAUGUUACUUAGUCCUUGAAAUUAUGAUCCUCACUCGGGCAUCUAAAAGCUGGGCAUUACAGGACUUUUCUCUGUAUAGCCCUGGCUGUCCUGGAACUCACUCUGUAGACUGGCCUUGAACUCAAAGAGAUGCACCUGUGUCUUGACUCCCAAGUGCUGGAAUUAAAGGCAUACACUACUACCAUGCC